AGAAAUGCCCGCCUUAUCAUCACAGGAACCCGUGAUCGAGCUCACGUAUGGGCAGCUCACCUCGGAGGCGCUCGAGGCCGCCAUUGUCGACCCCGCCGGGGUGACAUCACUGGAUUUGUCCGGCAGCAACAUGUCUCCCGAGUACUGCAUCGAGCUGGUAAGCCGGUACAUUUCGAAGAUGGUGAAUCUCGAGUCGCUGGAUCUCAAAGACAAUAAGAUCGGCCCGCAGGGUGCGAUGUUUCUCUUCGACGCACUGCGGGAGCACUGUCCGCAUCUCACCUACCUCGAUGUGAAUGAGAACGCCAUCCAGGACGAGGCGCUAUACCCUCUCGCGCUGUUGCUGCAGUCUGUCAAGUUGAGGACGCUAAACGUGGUUACGAACCACAUCACCCCACGCGGGCUGCCCACGCUGUGCGACGGCGUGAUGGCCUGCCGCACCCUCACGGAGCUUUCACUGGCCUUCAACUUGUUGGGCGAUGAGGGCGGGCGCAUAGCUGCGGAGAUACUCGGCAGCCACCCGAGCCUUAGGACCCUCGACCUCAGCGACAACCACAUCGGUGAUCUUGGCGCAGUAGCCAUCGCUGAGGCUUUUAUACUCUCCAGCGCGUCGCGUAUCGAGUCGCUCAACCUUUCUGUCAAUCACAUGGGUGACGUCGGCUUUGCGGCCAUUGCAGAGGCUCUUACGAAAACGAACAAUAAGCACUUCACCGCGCUUGACCUGGCUUGCAACGAUGCCGUCACCGAUGUCGGGCGGGAGGCUCUGAUGCGGGCGGUGCCACACAUGCGGUACGUGUACUCCCUCGACCUGACCUCGUGCGACUUGUCGGACGACAAUGCCAAGGCGCUCACGGAGGCGAUCCGUAGCAGCCGCACCAGUGUCGGGACGGUGGAGUGGUACAACAACCCGCGCAUCAAGCUGCUGACAGAGAAGGCGCUGUACGAGGCUAUCGAGGCGAAGGCCGCUGCGCGCCUCUCCCUCAAAGGCGACGGCUCCGUCGUCUUGUACGCUGGUGUAGCACUCACAGCAGCUAUGGUGGUUGUCUCUAUCAUUAUGCGGCAGCGGCAGAACUCUUAGAGGUGCACUGUGGUCGAUGCGCGCUGAUAGGCGAUAAAGGAGGGGAGGGUGAUAGACUUUAUGGAGGCAAUGCGCUUCACGAGGGAUGCAGCGUUUGCGUGUAUGCGUGGGAGAGAGAGGGGGUGGGCAGUUGUUUCGUGAAGGGAUUGCUCAAGCACCUUGGCGGCCGCGGAGCCACGCUGCUGCGUCAAGGUUUUCUCCUCUUCAGCACACGGGAGCGCCUCCCUCAUGUGCCCUGUGCUGUGUGUUGUACCCUCAAGCGACAAUUCGCUACGUGCCGCUUCGCUGCGCGGUCGCUGCGUUUUCUUGGGCGUGGCUGUAUGUGUGUCUGCGUGUGGGUGGGUGGGGGGGGGGAGAAGGGGCGGCUCUCGCUCCCGCUCAGUACGCGCAGGCCCUCUGCGCCCACCGCCUUUCCUUAUUCGUCUUCUCGUUGAGUGCUUUGCCACUCUUCUCUCGUCUUUCACAGUUUUGUGGCCACCACUGACGUAUUUCCGCCCCAGCCAUCUCAGACCUUUUGCGUGCAUGGAUUUAGCAGAUACAAUCAACCGCCCGUGCUACUCCGUCUCCCGCGUGAUCUCCCCCUCGGAGGGGGAGGGCGUAGGUGGGCACGUGUGUGUGCGCGUGGCCUUGUGGUGACUUCUGUCGAGAAGGUGCUGCCCUCUGCCCCCCUCCCCCUGUCUCCCUCCAUGAGCUCAUACACGCCUGCGGAGUCCUGCGCACAGCAAAG
rnacentral:misc_RNA from 1 species